rnacentral:rRNA from 1 species
UGGGGAAUCUUGCACAAUGGGCGAAAGCCUGAUGCAGCCAUGCCGCGUGAAUGAUGAAGGCCUUAGGGUUGUAAAAUUCUUUCGCUAGGGAUGAUAAUGACAGUACCUAGUAAAGAAGCCCCGGCUAACUUCGUGCCAGCAGCCGCGGUAAUACGAAGGGGGCUAGCGUUGUUCGGAAUUACUGGGCGUAAAGCGCACGUAGGCGGACUUUUAAGUCAGAUGUGAAAUCCCGGGGCUCAACCUCGGAACUGCAUUUGAAACUGGAAGUCUGGAGUUCAGGAGAGGUUAGCGGAAUACCGAGUGUAGAGGUGAAAUUCGUAGAUAUUCGGUGGAACACCAGUGGCGAAGGCGGCUAACUGGACUGAUACUGACGCUGAGGUGCGAAAGUGUGGGGAGCAAACAGGAUUAGAUACCCUGGUAGUCCACACCGUAAACGAUGAGAGCUAGUUGUUGGCAGGCAUGCCUGUCGGUGACGCAGCUAACGC